GUCUCUGCUUCCAGAAAAUUCUGAGGGUAAGUUCUUGAGCCCAAGUGCUUUGUGCCUCGACUGAUUUAUCUGUGAAACAGGGACAGUCUGGAGGCUUGGGUUUCACAGGAGCAUUCUGGAGAUGCCAUGAGCAUUGUAGACAGGCUUUUGACUUUCACAUACUGUAAACCACGUUUUAAUUUGUCUCCCUAGGCGGUUGGUGUCACAGGUUGCAAACAUCACAUCUUCAAAAGUCUGCCCUAACAGCCUACAAG
rnacentral:lncRNA from 1 species